rnacentral:rRNA from 1 species
GGUACUGAGACACGGACCAGACUCCUACGGGAGGCAGCAGUGAGGAAUAUUGGUCAAUGGGCGAAAGCCUGAACCAGCCAUCCCGCGUGCAGGAAGACGGCCCUAUGGGUUGUAAACUGCUUUUCCAGGAGGAGAAACUCUCGUACGUGAUACGGGAUUGACGGUACCCUGGGAAUAAGCAUCGGCUAACUCCGUGCCAGCAGCCGCGGUAAUACGGAGGAUGCAAGCGUUAUCCGGAUUCAUUGGGUUUAAAGGGUGCGUAGGCGGACUAUUAAGUCAGUGGUGAAAUCCUGCAGCUUAACUGCAGAACUGCCAUUGAUACUGAUAGUCUUGAGUUUGGUUAAGGUAGGCGGAAUGUGUAAUGUAGCGGUGAAAUGCUUAGAUAUUACACAGAACACCGAUUGCGUAGGCAGCUUACUGAGCCGACACUGACGCUGAGGCACGAAAGCGUGGGGAUCGAACAGGAUUAGAUACCCUGGUAGUCCACGCCGUAAACGAUGAUUACUCGCUGUUGGCGAUACACUGUCAGCGGCUAAGCAAAAGCAAUAAGUAAUCCACCUGGGGAGUACGGCCGCAAGGCUGAAACUCAAAGGAAUUGACGG